GUGUGUGUUUUUCAUACUUGGAUAAUGAUCAAGCCUUUCGUAGGCUUUAAGGAAUUAUAUGGUUCAAAUUAUUUUAAUUCUUGUUAGGGCAGCCGCCAAACAAGAUUUAUGAGAAAAGCCAAAUAUUUUCUUCUUCCCUUGCAAGUCUCCGUUCAUUCCCCUUUCUUCAUUUUGUGUUUUUCUCUUUUCUAGCCAAGCUCCAAGAACGUAUCUAAGGUAAGAGCUCUUGGAUUAAACCUUAUUGAUAGUGGAAUUAAAGGAAAUUCUCCUCUGUCUUCUUUAUGUUAUUUCAAAAAAUAGGCUGUUGGGGAAGAAAACGAUUUGCUCUUGUAUCAUGUUGAUUACUACAUGUUUCAAGUUAGUUAUUGUUUAGAAUUAAGUAGUAUGAUGAAAGAAAUCAAAACCCUACCCCAAAGCUUCGAUUUUUGACCCCCCUCAAGAACCCUAGAAUUUCAUCUUCUUUAUUUCCAUCAAUUGGCUGCGUAUAUAUAUUUAUAUGUUUGUUUGGGAAUCAUUGAGAUUUAGUUGAGUUUUUAUUUGCAAGAAAUCAUGAUUUUCUAAUAGUUUAGUUUCAAUGAAUUUGGGAAUUCUUGAUAUAAGAUAGCUACAUGUUUGAUGCUUGUGUAAUUGUACUCUUUGAGUUGUAAAAUGAGAUUAUAUGAUAAUAAUUGGAGGAUAUUAAGCAUGCUAUGUUGAUGUGUUGAACAUGAAUUAAGUUAAGCUAAAGCAUGCUAAUGUGUAUUAAGAUGAUGUAUUUGAGUUCCUAUAGCUUUUAUUUGAGAAAAAUAUGAGUAAUAUGUCAAUGAGCAUUGCUGUCAGUUUUCGGGUUGGACAGAACAGUAUGUUUCGGGGUACUUUUGAUAAUAUUUUCGUAGUCCAAAUAACUUGAAAUUUUUACUGUAAUAACUUCAUCAUGUGUAGUCGUUCUCUACAAAAUUCCAGCUAAAUCCAAGACCAUUAGAUAUGCUAAAUUAUUUUCUGAAAAGUACUGCGCGAAGCAGCAAGGUUUGUGGCAGAUUCUGCCUUUUGUGAGAUAAUUUCGUAUACACUUGAUGUAUUGUAUUUUUGUAACUUUCUAAUAAAAAUAGACUUUGAGAUAUUUCUAAAAAUGUAAAGCUUGUAUUUUUCUUUAAAGAGGUUGAUUUUAUAUGAUAUUUCAAAGUUGAGAUUCGUAUAUGAUUACAUAUUUGAAGUUACUUACUUGGGAUAGUUGAGUAGAACUAUGCUUAAGUCAUUGGUCAAUUCUUGAAUUGAUGUUUUAGUUAUUAAUUGUAAGCUAAUCUAUAUAGAAUGGAUUAGUUUGAUCUUAAACUUUUUCAACUUGAGAUAUCCCAAGAGAUAUGAUGUUACUGUUUGCUUUUAGUUAAUUAAGUCCAUAAAAGUAGAAUACUCAGAUUAGAGGAUGCAACUUUCAAGCGAUAGAAGUUUCAUUCAAGAUUUAUUUUCUAUUUACUUAUUGUUAUCUAAUCUUACGUGGGCACCUCAUUAUAGUGAAGGUUCGAGUGGAAACAUAAAGUAAACAGGCAAGGACUGCUAUUUCAUUAAGAGUAUCAGGUGGGCUUACUAACUCAAGAAGAAAAGAUGCAUACUUUAUUAUAUGAGGUUUAAGUGUAUGCAUUUAUUUUCAAGUUAUCGACUUGCCAAUAUUUGAGAUUUAUACGAUACCAUCUACAUAGAAGAACGAAUUCGGGUCCUGAGCGAGUCAGGAUUUGUGUACACAGAGUUGACAGUUAACCUUUGAGUUAGCUUGUCAUCGUGUUUGAGAAGGAGGCCUACUUCUCAACCCUUAAAGUUAUAUGAUGCGUAGAUAUGGUACAUACAUGUUAAUUAUCUGCAGACGUAUAUGAUGUUAUGAUGAUUACAGAGAAGUUUUACAGUUUUUGCAUGCACAUGUUAUUUAAAUAAAGCUCAUGUGUGAUGCUUGAGAUGGCAAGUUCAAUAUAUAGCUCUAAGAGCAAGCUUUAAAGUUAUUUCGGCAUGACCAUUGAGUGCUUUUUGGUACUCAGCCCUGCAUAUGUUUCUCAAUAUGCAGGUUAAGCUGUGAUGCAGAUGGAAGCGAGCAGAGCAAAGUCUUGAUGUUAAUGUGUUAAAUUAGGCUCAAGAUUUCAUGUCCUCAUACAUGUAAUCCACUUGAGUUAUUUUCGCUGCAACACUUAAUGUACUUUACUUAUUUGAUGUGUUGUACAGAUUUUUAAACCAAUAGCUUCGAGAAUUAUGUCACUUAGACAACUUGUCGUUGUGUUAUUGUAAGUUGUCUACUCGUGAGUUUUAAAAGUGAUUGUUUAUGAUUACCAAACAUUAUGGUAAAAUAUUGUUUAAGCAAGAUGAUUAUUUUUAUUGAAACCUCUUUUAUUUUCCAUUUUCUUUCUCCGUUUCCCGGUCACACUUUUCCCCGGCUUAACUAUACACUAGCUUAGGUCGGGCUGUGACAAAAAGACCGCAAUGGUACAACAAUAUGCAAAGCUGCAGUGUCAAAGGGCAUUGAGGUCAUUAGCCUUAGCAGGUCCGGCCGACCAUCUUUCUCGGACGCAUGGGUAGAUCAGGUCACUUGGCUUACAGACAAGUUCUUUUUUUCUUUUAUGUGGCUAAUGACUAAUAUAGAGUGCAUUUUGAUCAUUCAAGAGGUAUUUUGUUUUCAUACACUCUUCAAAUUUUACUCCCAGUGAGGAACAGAGGCAAAUGAUCAACAACGAGGCUAAUAUAGUAGCAGUAAAUGUUGCUAAAGAAUUUGGUGAUUAUUCGUUCAUUUCAUAUUAUCCAACCAAAACAGAGUAGCUUAUAGAGACCGAUUCAAUUUCUAUUCAGUGUUUCAAUGUGAAAGUAUAUUUAUAAUGUUUUUCCACUACGAGUGCACUAUUACCAA